rnacentral:rRNA from 1 species
AGAUUGAACGCUGGCGGCAUGCCUUACACAUGCAAGUCGAACGGCAGCACGGGAGCAAUCCUGGUGGCGAGUGGCGAACGGGUGAGUAAUAUAUCGGAACGCGCCCAGUCGUGGGGGAUAACGUAGCGAAAGCUACGCUAAUACCGCAUACGAUCUGCGGAUGAAAGCGGGGGAUCGCAAGACCUCGCGCGAUUGGAGCGGCCGAUAUCAGAUUAGGUUGUUGGUGGGGUAAAAGCCCACCAAGCCGACGAUCUGUAGCUGGUCUGAGAGGACGACCAGCCACACUGGGACUGAGACACGGCCCAGACUCCUACGGGAGGCAGCAGUGGGGAAUUUUGGACAAUGGGCGCAAGCCUGAUCCAGCAAUGCCGCGUGCAGGAUGAAGGCCUUCGGUUGUAAACUGCUUUUGUGCGGACGAAACGGUCUUUUCUAAUACAGAAGACUACUGACGGUAACCGUAAGAAUAAGCAACCGGCUAACUACGUG